rnacentral:tRNA from 1 species
UCCCUGGUGGUCCACUUGCUAAGACUCCACACUUCCAAUGUACAAGGCCUGGGUUUGAUCCCUGGUCAGGGAA